GCCCGGCUGGCGCAAUUGGUAGCGCGUAAGACUUCUACAUCACCUCUUGAGACAAGAGAGUGCUGGGGUUUCAUCUUAAGGUCGUGGGUUCGAGCCCCACGUCGGGUG